UACGAAGGGGGCUAGCGUUGCUCGGAUUUACUGGGCGUAAAGGGCGCGUAGGCGGACAGUUUAGUCAGAGGUGAAAGCCCAGGGCUCAACCUUGGAAUUGCCUUUGAUACUGGCUGUCUUGAGUACGGGAGAGGUGAGUGGAACUCCGAGUGUAGAGGUGAAAUUCGUAGAUAAUUCGGAAGAACACCAGUGGCGAAGGCGACUCACUGGCCCGUUACUGACGCUGAGGCGCGAAAGGCGUGGGGAGCAAACAGG
rnacentral:rRNA from 1 species